CGGGAAUCUUCGGAUUCUAGUGGCGGACGGGUGAGUAACGCGUAAGAAUCUAACUUCAGGACGGGGACAACAGUUGGAAACGACUGCUAAUACCCGAUAUGCCGCAAGGUGAAACCUAAUUGGCCUGGAGAAGAGCUUGCGUCUGAUUAGCUAGUUGGUGGGGUAAGAGCCUACCAAGGCGACGAUCAGUAGCUGGUCUGAGAGGAUGAGCAGCCACACUGGGACUGAGACACGGCCCAGACUCCUACGGGAGGCAGCAGUGGGGAAUUUUCCGCAAUGGGCGAAAGCCUGACGGAGCAACGCCGCGUGAGGGAGGAAGGUCUUUGGAUUGUAAACCUCUUUUCUCAAGGAAGAAGUUCUGACGGUACUUGAGGAAUCAGCCUCGGCUAACUCCGUGCCAGCAGCCGCGGUAAUACGGGGGAGGCAAGCGUUAUCCGGAAUUAUUGGGCGUAAAGCGUCCGCAGGUGGUCAGCCAAGUCUGCCGUCAAAUCAGGUUGCUUAACGACCUAAAGGCGGUGGAAACUGGCAGACUAGAGAGCAGUAGGGGUAGCAGGAAUUCCCAGUGUAGCGGUGAAAUGCGUAGAGAUUGGGAAGAACAUCGGUGGCGAAAGCGUGCUACUGGGCUGUAUCUGACACUCAGGGACGAAAGCUAGGGGAGCGAAAGGGAUUAGAUACCCCUGUAGUCCUAGCCGUAAACGAUGGAUACUAGGCGUGGCUUGUAUCGACCCGAGCCGUGCCGAAGCUAACGCGUUAAGUAUCCCGCCUGGGGAGUACGCACGCAAGUGUGAAACUCAAAGGAAUUGACGGGGGCCCGCACAAGCGGNGGAGUAUGUGGUUUANUUCGAUGCAACG
rnacentral:rRNA from 1 species